rnacentral:rRNA from 1 species
UACGUAGGGUGCAAGCGUUGUCCGGAAUUAUUGGGCGUAAAGAGCUCGUAGGCGGUCUGUCGCGUCGGCUGUGAAAACCCGGGGCUCAACCCCGGGCCUGCAGUCGAUACGGGCAGACUAGAGUGCGGUAGGGGAGACUGGAAUUCCUGGUGUAGCGGUGAAAUGCGCAGAUAUCAGGAGGAACACCGGUGGCGAAGGCGGGUCUCUGGGCCGUUACUGACGCUGAGGAGCGAAAGCGUGGGGAGCGAACAGG